rnacentral:lncRNA from 1 species
CUGCUGUUAGCAGUUGGGCUUCAAUCCUGCGGGCGAAUGUCUGAGGAGUCAAAUAGGACGCAUCUCAGAAAUGCUCCUUCGAAGGAUGGGAGGUGGGGGCAUUUAGGCCCUGAUUGUCAUCCUCUGUGGCAAAGGGUAAUCCCUCACGAUGUUGACUUCUAUGCACCUUGAGGCCGCCCUGCAAUUAGGCUGAGUGAGUUUCUGCAGCUUUGGAGAAAGUUUUUAGGCAGAAAAAGGGAUGAGAUGCCCGAGGUGGAGCAUUAUAGAUGUGCGUGGAAAUAUUCACUGUGGCUGCAGUAGUGGCACAGGGUACCCAGAGUCUCUGCCACAACACAACAAAGUAUGUAUUAAGAGUAGUCUUUCCCUUAAUAUCCAUCCAUGUAUCCAUCCACGCACCAUCUAUCCAUCCCUCCAUUCAUAUCCCUGCGCACCCAUGCAUGCACCCAUGCAUCCAUCCAGGUACCCAUCUAUCCCAACAUCCAUUCAUCCUGAUCCUUCCUUUCAUAAAAAAGGAGCCACCAGCAUGUGCUAAGACUGUGAGCAAGUCAUUCCCCCUUUCUGAGAUUGCCUUCUUCACUGAAGAAAAAUGGGAAAGAACUGGGACAGCUGAUCAUACAGCCCCCUGCCAGCCUUGGCUUCUAAACUGUAAUAGGAACGAGUUGGAAAGGCAGACAGAGUUUGGAUUGUCAGCAGCCAAUCACUUCUGGAGAAUGGAAGCAGAGAUGAGUUCUGGUGAGGCUGGCUGGUUGUCCAGAGAGGCAACACCCUGCCGCAGGUCCUUCACUCCAGAAUCUGGUCUUCCACACCAGAGCUUCAGACACUUGUUUAUUGAAUCUGGGUGUGUGGGCCCCAGAGAUGGAAAUAAAGAUUAUCAAGAGAAUUGGAACCUUUCAUGGGCUGAUCAGCACAAUCACUCUGUACAGGUGAGCUAUAUGGGAAAUCAAAUGCUAAACACAGGGAUGGUUGGGGAGUCUGGACUCAGAGCCCUGGGAGGGAGCAGGUGGUCUUCAUGGCCGGUGUCACUGAGCCAUGAGAGUCUGAUGUAUCCAUCCCUCUUUGGGGGCAGGCUUAUAGGGGACCUGUGGUGAG